rnacentral:lncRNA from 1 species
CCCCAGAGCGGGGCUGGCCCCGCGGCCGUGGGCACCGUUCCGGCCCGGCCCGGCGACGAGCGGUGAGGGCGAGCAGUGCCUGCUCUUGCAGCGCCUGCUCUCACAGGCAGCUGUUCAAUUAAAACUCUGGUAACCUCCCCAGAGGUCAAAGACGCUGCAGGUUGAAAGCCUACCGGGGCAGUGAUGUGACUUCCUGCCACGAAGCCUUUGGUGAAUGCUGUGGGCAAAGCUGGGUUAUCAUCCACAUGUAGAUCCUGCUGUGGGAUUACGACUGGAAAUGUUCCCGCUCUCUUUAGGUGGAAGACUAAAUACUUUUACCUAUUCCACAGUUACCUGCUGCCUCCUGGGAAAGUUUCCCAUCCCAGGACUGCUGCUGCUCACAGUUCCUAACAGCUGAUCCCAGCUUGGGGGACUGAGGAACCUGGGGACAUGGAGAAUGAUUGCUUGCCUUUACCCCCUUGGUGCAGCCUCUCCUGGGUAUGUAAAAGCAAACAGUGGGAUUGUUUGUUACUAUUUAUGUUCUGUCAUUCCCUGAAGGACCAAAAAUUUUAGUUCUCGAAGGUCUGUUUUUACUGAAAGUGUCAGAUUGAAAAAAAGGUGGUUGAUAAAAUGUGGGAAACAGGCAAAGAAUUAAGACAGUUCCCUGAGUACCUGUGAAAUUCUCCUCUCAUUUCUGCCUGCGACACCCCUUCCUGUCCACAUCCCCUUGCUUACUUUCAUCAAAAGCAGCUUUCAGCCAAGCAGCAUGAACCAGGAUUUAGGAACUGGCAAUGAGGAGCAGAAAUGAAGAUGGAUUACUUCAGCAUUGCUAGCAUUUAACAACUAUCCCUGACACCUGGUUGGCUAAAGCAC